CUUCAUUAUGCAUAGUUAGUUGAUCUUCUUUAUAGUUUGUUAUGAAAAGGAAAGAGAUUUAAAUGGGAGAAAAAGCAUAAAAAAAUAAUUCAAAAGCUAAAACAAUUAUUAUCUUCUCCACCUGUAUUGCAAAGGAUAAAUUAUGAGGAUGGCAAAUCGGUAAUACUUACAAUUGAUACUAGUCCAAUAGCUAUUGAUUAGAUUUUAGGACAAAAUGAUGAAGAAGGUAA
rnacentral:lncRNA from 1 species